GACGAACGCUGGCGGCGUGCUUAACACAUGCAAGUCGAACGGACUACUUUGCUUCGGUAAGGUGGUUAGUGGCGAACGGGUGAGUAACGCGUAGACAACCUACCUCUUAGAUGGGGACAACAUCGCGAAAGCGGUGCUAAUACCGAAUGAAGUGACUUUCCUGCAUGGGAGAGAUACUAAAGGUGGCCUCUAUUUAUAAGCUACCACUGAGAGAUGGGUCUGCGUCUGAUUAGCUAGUUGGCGGGGUAAUGGCCCACCAAGGCGACGAUCAGUGGGCGGUCUGAGAGGGUGAACGGCCACAUUGGGACUGGAACACGGCCCAAACUCCUACGGGAGGCAGCAGGGGGGAAUCUUCCGCAAUGGACGAAAGUCUGACGGAGCAACGCCGCGUGAGUGAAGAAGGUUUUCGGAUCGUAAAGCUCUGUUGUUUGAGACGAAUGUGCCUGUUUCAAAUAGGGAUAGGUAAUGACGGUAUUAAACGAGAAAGCCACGGCUAACUACGUGCCAGCCGCCGCAGUAA
rnacentral:rRNA from 1 species